UACGGAGGGUGCAAACGUUGCUCGGAAUCAUUGGGCGUAAAGCGCACGUAGGCGGUCCGGCAAGUCGGGUGUGAAAUCCCUCGGCUUAACCGAGGAAGUGCAUUCGAAGCUACCGGACUUGAAUACUGGAGAGGGUCGCGGAAUUCCCGGUGUAGAGGUGAAAUUCGUAGAUAUCGGGAGGAACACCAGUGGCGAAGGCGGCUGCCUGGGCCUGGCCUGACGCUCAGGGGCGAAAGCGUGGGGAGCAAACCGG
rnacentral:rRNA from 1 species